rnacentral:rRNA from 1 species
CCUACGGGGGGCAGCAGUGGGGGAUAUUGGACAAUGGGGGGAACCCUGAUCCAGCGACGCCGCGUGAGUGAAGAAGUAUUUCGGUAUGUAAAGCUCUGUCAGCAGGGAAGAAAGAAAUGACGGUACCUGACCAAGAAGCCCCGGCUAACUACGUGCCAGCAGCCGAGGUAAUACGUAGGGGGCAAGCGUUAUCCGGAAUUACUGGGUGUAAAGGGGGCGUAGACGGUUAAGUAAGUCUGGAGUGAAAGGCCGGGGCCCAACCCCGGGACUGCUCUGGAAACUAUUGAACUUGAGUGCAGGAGAGGUAAGCGGAAUUCCUAGUGUAGCGGUGAAAUGCGUAGAUAUUAGGAGGAACACCAGUGGCGAAGGCGGCUUACUGGACUGUAACUGACGUUGAGGCUCGAAAGCGUGGGGAGCAAACAGGAUUAGAUACCCCAGUAGUC